rnacentral:sRNA from 1 species
AACAACACGAACACAAAUGAUAUUCAG